GCGGCGUCAGGCAUGAUGGCGAUGGGAGGAAGGAGAAGGGUCAAAACAGGGCAGUUCCAGAACAGGGACUUCUCGACCAAGAAAAUAAGGGAUUUGGCGGUCGGCUUGGCUCAGAUCGGCCGCUCGAGUGAGUCGCAAUGUCCGGCCACCCUGCCGGCAAGAUGAGCGAUGGUUGGAAGUAGGGAAAAAAAUUGGUGAAAUGAGUCUAUGGGAUCGGUACCCCAAAGACAAACUCGGGAUCGAUCGCCGCCGGGUGGUGGAAUCCGGCGGGAUGUCGAUGUGCAAGCCUUCAGAGGGUGGAAUAGAGAGAGAAGAAGAAAAAGAUAAAGAAUUCCUACACGAGCUUGCCGGGAUUGGAAUGGAAACUCAAUGCUUGGAAUCCAGCAAGGAGAAAGAGGCUGGCGCAAGGUCAAGGGUUGAGGAGGUAGAAAGGAAUUUGAGGGAGAGAAACGGGAUGAGAAAAAGGAAAAGGGGCGAGGGUUCUGGGAAUCCUUGCAUGCUUCGCCGAUUGAUUCGCGACGGCGCCGACCUAAUCUCGCCGCUCGGCCGGGUUUUGCAUCCCUCCCAUGUAACCAGUUACCGUUGGUUUGAUUCAGCUGAGUCGAGGUUGAGUUAGGGAUCGGAUGCAAGCAAUGAUGAUAUUGGUGCUGAAAAGCUAUGGAAAUAGUAGAGGCCGUGGUAGAGGCCAGCGAGGUAAUUGUAGAGGAUGUGGUGGUAGAAGCACUCAUGGUCAUGGUUAUGGUAUAAUAAAUAGAAGGAAUGAGUUUUUACUAAUCAGAUGGUCACCAAUCUGACUCAGGUCAAUGAAGCUCGCAAAGAGGACAUGGAUGAUGGUCGACAAGCUAAAUGUUAAAUGCUAUAAAUGUUAUCCUUAUGGGCAUUACGCAUCUGAGUGCAGAUUUCAAAAAGAAGAUCAGUCUGGAGAAUAAGCUCGUUUCUUCAAAAGAGGAAGAUGGAGGCAAAGAUACUUGGUUCCUUGACACUGGCUGCACCAACCACAUGACCAGAAGCAAGGAGUUGUUCGUUGAUUUGGAUGAAUCAGUGUGGACUGUAGUCAGAUUUGUAGAUGACAAUAUGGUGCCAGUAAUAGAUCAAGAAAUUGAGUAUGAAAUCACCAUUCCUCACAUGUCAAAUCAUAAUGGAGUUGUUGAGAGAAAGAAUGGGACCAUCAUGGACAUGACCAGGAGCAUGCUAAAGGCCAAAGUUAUGCUAAAUAGUUUUUGGGCUGAAUUUAUCUCAUAUGCUGUUUAUUUGUUGAACAGAUCUACCAGGAGCUUUGUAUAAAAUGUCACACUGGAAGAUGGUUGGAGUGGAUUCAGGCCAAGUGUAAAGCAUCUCAAAUUAUUUGGCUCGAUUGCCUAUGUUCAUGUUCCUAGUGAAGGAGGGAGAAAACUGGAUGAUAGAGGAGAGAAGGUUGUAUUUAUUGGCUACAAAUUCUGCCAUGGGGUACAAGCUGUACAAAUGUACAAUCCUACUACGAAUAAAAUGAUUUUGAGUAGAGAUGUCAUCUUUUAUGAAGAAAGCAUGUAGCAUUGGGAUGAAGCAACAUAGCAAUACUUGCAACAAAAUCCACACUUAAUUGAAAUUGAAGAUGAAGCUCCUCAAGAUGUAAUCCCCACUGCAAAUAGAGAGACACAAGCUGCCCCCUUAGUUGAAGCUUCAAUGAUGCAAGCCCCACUUAAUAAGAGGCCAGGAGGAGUGCGACAACCAUACAUACGGCUAAGAGAAUUUGAGGUUAUAGAUGAGGAUACAAUUAAUGAUGAUGAAGAAUUAGUUCACUUUAUGAUAUUUGCAGAUUAUGAUCCUCUUAUGAAGAAAUGGCCAAAAGUGACAAAUGGGUGGAAGCCAUGAAUGAAGAGAUACAGAGAAAUGAUACGUGGAAACUCAAAAGUAUUCCAUGAGGACACAAAGCGAUUGAUGUGAACUGGGUUUUCAAGAGAAAAAUCAAACAAAGUGGUGAAGUUGAAUGGUACAAAGCGAGUGGUAGCAAAGGGCUAUGAGCAACGUCCUAAACUUGAUUAUCAAAGAGCUUUUUUCUCCAAUUGCCAGAAUAUAACUGUUAGAUUAUUUAUUGCUUUACCUGCACAAAAGUACUGGAAGAUUCAUCAAAUAAACAUAAAGUUAGCAUUGUUGAAUGGUCCACUUGAUGAAGAAGUAUAUGUCAAACAACCGCUGAAUUUCAUGAAGAAAGGGAGUGAAGGAAAAGUGUAUUGGUUUAAAAAAAACUUUAUUCGUGUUGAAGCAAGCUCCAAGAGUAUAGAAUAAGUGCAUUAAUAUAUGUCCUUCCAAGAAAAUGGGUUUGAAAAAUGCUUGUAUGAGUAUGCUUUAUAUGUGAAAAUUGGAGUUUCCAAUGAUGUACUGAUUGUGUGCCUUUUAUGUUGAUGACUUAGUUUUUACA